rnacentral:rRNA from 1 species
UACGUAGGGUGCGAGCGUUAAUCGGAAUUACUGGGCGUAAAGCGUGCGCAGGCGGUUGUGCAAGACCGAUGUGAAAUCCCCGGGCUUAACCUGGGAAUGGCAUUGGUGACUGCACGGCUAGAGUGCGGCAGAGGGGGAUGGAAUUCCGCGUGUAGCAGUGAAAUGCGUAGAUAUGCGGAGGAACACCGAUGGCGAAGGCAAUCCCCUGGGCCUGCACUGACGCUCAUGCACGAAAGCGUGGGGAGCAAACAGG